rnacentral:rRNA from 1 species
UACAGAGGGUGCGAGCGUUAAUCGGAAUUACUGGGCGUAAAGCGUGCGUAGACGGUUAUUUAAGUCGGGUGUGAAGGCCCCGGGCUCAACCUGGGAAUUGCAUUCGAGACUGAAUAGCUAGGGUACGGUAGAGGGAAGCGGAAUUUCCGGUGUAGCGGUGAAAUGCGUAGAUAUCAGGAGGAACACCUAUUGCGAAGGCAGCUCGCUGGGACGUUACUGACGCUGAGACGCGAAAGCGUGGGGAGCAAACAGG